rnacentral:lncRNA from 1 species
CAGCUAUUUUAGUCUAUUUUGGCGUAUUAUUAACUACUUACAUUGACUGUGUUGCUGUUUCACUGAAAUUAUAAUGCAGUUAAAAGAUAUACUAAUAUUAAGAAAGUAGGGAUUACUGUCUUACGUAUAUUCCCUACACCUGACAAAACUUGACAAAAGGCAGAGCUACCACAUGCGUGAGAUUUCAGUGAAGCAGAUAAUGCACCAGGAGUCGAAGAGGACUGUCUGGAUUAUGAUGCAGCGGCUGUGAAGGACAAGUUCCAAUAAGUCAAACUCACCUUUCCCCGCACCCCACUGCAAAAAAUGAGGCCUAAAUUUGCAAAGACAACAGACAGUGACAGAGUCACUUUAGCGUAUUGCAAAGAUCUUAAGAAUCACUUUGAAUGCACAUGAGAUUUAAAAACCGUAGAAUAAAUCCUACUAAAUAAAGCAUGGUACUAUACAGUAGAUAUAGAGACAGCAUGGCGUUUAACCGCCUUAGUAAAAGGGGUUGGAUAAACUGUAUGAUAUCAUGAUAGCCCUGGAAGGCAUCCGUCAUGAAGGGUUUAAUUUAACCAAAGGGUUAACAUUUUAAAGAUCGCCAAAUCAUAGUACUAGUAUACUUUGUAUCUUAAACAAAAACAUCCCUAUACAUGUAUUUCUAUAAUUCUUUCUAUGUUAAAGCAAUACCCCAGGUACCAUAACCACUACAUCACACUCACUUGCCGAGAGUGAUUAGCACAGGAAGUGACUGGCAUCCAGUGAAGCCCAGGUAAAAAGUUAGUCCAUAACCAGUUUGACUAGUUACAAAGGGGGUGCCAGGGCAAUCCUGGCAUCCAAACCACUACAGCAUACUGUAGUGGGUAUGGUGCUUGGAUCGUUCCUCUAAGUAAAUAUUUUAUUACUCUGUUUAAUAAAUGGAAUAUGUAAUUAUUACUUUUAAAACACAAGUUAAGUACUAUCACUGCCUUGCUAAACAUUGUUUUUUUUAAUCAUUUUAAACAUCCCUAUUUUAAAGUGACUCGUGUUAAGUUUUAUUCAUAUUACACCACAAAGUGAAUUCUUAGGAACGCAAAGGGAAUUUUAAGUGAAUUUCACAUCUUAGGCAAACACUUAUAAACAUGACUUAAUUCUAGGCAAUAAUAAUCUGAACAUGCUCUCUGAUAAACAGAGAUGUGCGUAAUACAUUAGGCCUUCGUCUUAUUUAAUUUUGUUUUUCCUUUAUUAGUGUUUGCUUGACUUUACUUGUUUGGAGAAACACAAAAAAGUACAAUUAAUUCUGGACAUCUCUUAUGCAGAGGAGUGAUUUUUAUCAGCACAGAAUACAGUUAAUAGCGCCAUAACUAUUACAAUUUAUCUAAAAGUAGCUCUGAACAAUUUAACAAAAAAAAAUUCACCCAGAGCCACUUUACACUAAAGUACAGCAAUACGCUGUAGUAAUUAUGGUUCUUGGAAUGAACCUUUUACAUUCAGGAGAGAAUUCUUCUUCUCCCCAAGUAACAAGGGAGAGACUGAACUUUACUGCAUCAAAAAAAACCAAAAAACUAUAAUUUAAUUUAAUAUAUAAACUUUAACCAGAGUACGAAGGUAUAGGAAGUAAAAUGAUCAAAUCACGAACAUUUAGUUUACAGAAUUUUAUACCCACACAUUCUGUGCAAUUUAAACAAUUACAAAGACUUUUUGAUACUUGACACUGUGUUUUAUUCUCUUAUUGGAACUGGCAGUUGUAUUCUGUCAUAGGGAACACAGUGACUGGGAUUUAAUAGAACACUAUACCUUUUUGUCAUUUUUGCCAUAUUUUAUGUGAAAAAGAGAGAAAGAAUUAAGAAAAAGAAGAAGUGCUCUGAUACAAGACAACGCGUUUUGAAUAAUUUACUAAUGUAUGGAUUCCUGGGAAUUCAAAGUGAAUUUGAAGUUUUAGGCCAAAGUGGCCACAUAGCACGCACACGCACAGACAGACACACGUUAUAUACAUAGAGUCUUAAACUGGCACAAACUAUACGAUGUCAUAAUAGAUUUUCUAAUUUUAAUGUAUAUAUUUGUCAUCAUUUUAUUUUUUACAAAAGCACAUCAGUGAUGCAGCAGGUACAGUGGAGUUUAGAAGGUACACAUUUCAUUGUGACAUCAAGUAAUAUAUACAUAUAUAAUAGUGUUACAUAUCUGCCUCUUGCAUUAUUUUAAGCAAAAGGUUUUAUUGCGUAGUUACAAUUCUACAGGACAUUGUGUACUUUCACUGUGUUUUACAAUAAAAAGGUAAACAGCCAUACUGUACACUCUUUUAAUUUAAUGCAGUUGAUUUUCCUGUAGUUAUCUAAAUCAUUGCCGUUAGGAAUGAUUGUCGUGUAUGUACCAGGUGUAUUUUAUAAUAAAUACUAAUAUAUAUAUAUGUACACACACACACACUCUCACACACACACACACACACACACACACAUACAUAUAUAUACACAAAUUGGAGGGGAAAAAAAUCAUAUAAGAGAAAAAUAAAUCUGUU